CAAAAUGUUAUUUCAGGAACAUGAUUUAGAUGGUAAUGAAGAUGUGAGCCGACGAUAAAAUGUUCAAGUGUUUGGUUUUUACUUUGUCUAUUGGUCCAGCAACUCGAAUUAACUCUUUUAUACAUUUAGAAAUUUAGAAACUUGUUACAUUUUAGUGAUGAUUCCCUCCAUGUAAAGAGGGUCAUGGUGCACCAAAAAUAUACACUUAGGAAGGACUAUGCACAUGGUACUAAAAAACAAGGCAAAGUGAAUUGGAAA
rnacentral:lncRNA from 1 species